rnacentral:rRNA from 1 species
AGCAGCCGCGGUAAUUCCAGCUCCAAUAGCGUAUAUUAAAGUUGUUGCAGUUAAAAAGCUCGUAGUUGAAUUUCGGGAUCAAUAUGUUGGUCGUGCCUUGGUACGUACUGGCAUUAUUGAUUCCUACCUUCUGAAGAACCUCGAUGUCAUUAAUUUGGUGUCUUGGGGAAUCAGGACCGUUACUUUGAAAAAUUAGAGUGUUUAAAGCAGGCUCGCGCUUGAAUACAUUAGCAUGGAAUAAUGAAAUAGGACGUUUGAUUCUAUUUUGUUGGUUUCUAGGAUCGACGUAAUGAUUAAUAGGGAUAGUUGGGGGCAUUAGUAUUCAAUUGUCAGAGGUGAAAUUCUUGGAUUUAUUGAAGACUGACUACUGCGAAAGCAUUUGCCAAGGAUGUUUUCAUUAAUCAAGAACGAAAGUUAGGGGAUCGAAGACGAUCAGAUACCGUCGUAGUC